UACCGCCAUUGCAGCAUUAGCUUCACGUCGCGGUUAUAUUCGCCGCUUCUCCAUCCACGCCAGCUCACUGACAGACGUCCUGCCCAUCGGUCAGGAAUGAACAGAUUUUGGAGAAACCUCCGUUGACGCCCCUUUUACACCUCCAACCGUAAACAGAUGGAGGUCAGUCCCGUUUAUAUGCAGAGUGAUGACAGUGAACAGGACAGGCCCGCUUAUCCCCGGGUUUUCCCAACAGGCGAAGCCCGGAAGAGCGACCACCUUAAGGCGGGACUCUGCGUGGACUUCCCGGUGUCGGUGGUUCUUCCGGCCGGCGGCACCGGAGAGAGAACCGGGCUGCAGACACCAAAACAGUUCUGUCCGUUUCUGGGUAGACCGCUCAUAAGCUACACUAUAGAGUCCUUUGAGAGGGUGUCAUGGAUCCAAACCGUUGUGGUUGUUGUUGCGAAGGAAAACAUUGGCUUGAUGAUGGACAUCAUCCAACGGUUCCUGCACAAGAAGGUCCUAGUGGUACCCGGCGGCUCAACUCGUCACAGGUCCAUCUGCAAUGGAGUGGCGGCUCUGGGGGAGCAGCGGAGGCCGGCGGCCCACAAACCCAAGGUGGUCAUCAUACACGACGCUGUCCGCCCGUUUGUGGACGAGGACUUCCUGCACAAGAUAGCGACGGCUGCAAAGGAGCAAGGAGCAGCUGGAGCGAUCAGACCACUUGUUUCCACUGUGAUCGCCACAACGUCGGAGGGAUACCUGGAUCAUUCGUUAGAGCGAGCCAAGUACAGGGCUAGCGAAAUGCCUCAGGGGUUCACAUACGAUGUCAUCUGUGAGGCCUACCAGAAGUGCACCGAGUCAGACUUCGAGUUCGGUACCGAGUGUCUCCAUCUUGCUCUGCAGUACUGCGGCACCAACGCCAAACUCAUCGAUGGUCCGCCAACCUUGUGGAAGGUGACCUAUAAACGGGAUUUGGCUGCUGCAGAGUCCAUCAUCAAAGAGUCUUUGUCGCAGUCAGCUUGCCUUAUAACCGGGGGAUUGGAAGCUGCUGUCUCUCUGGCCAAUGUUCUCCAAAAAGCUUUUGGAGCUCUGGAUAUGGAGCUGAACGUCACGCCAGAUCUGAUGGGAGACAACGGCAGGUAUCUGCUGGAAGACUGGAACUUCAUUAAGGUUUCUUUUGAUCCAUGUUGCCCUUCAGAAGUGGAGGCCUUAAUUGUGGCGUUGGAGGCAGAAAACCGAGCUCUUCUCAACCCGGCAGUGAUCAUCUGGGUGAGUUAGCAGCCGGGACUCUGCAGCCAUGUCGAUAUGUGUGUUUUAAAACCGAUUUGUUCUGAUCUGCUGAGACAUUUCCUGAACCUUUGUCCUCCAGAACACAAUGACCAUAAACCUUCAGUCUGUUGAGACUCAAAUGGAAGAAUUAUGUGCAAAAAGUGAAUUUUGAAUAACAGCUCCCCUUUAAGUUUGAUUUCCAGGCUGAUGUCAGUUUGUUUUUCUCUAAUUUAUUCUUGAUUGAGGUCAGUCAAGAACAAAUUAGAAAAGUUAUAUAAAAGUGUUAUUUUUAUUAUUCUGCAGAUCUGGCCGUAUAAUCAGGCCUUGGUGUCUGUGGCUACAGAUUGUUGUUAAUCAUGAUUAAUGAUUUCAAAAGAGAAAGCAGUUAUAGUUUAUGAGCCUAAGUGAUUCAGAUAUUUUAAAAUAAUGACUUUUUUCACAUUGUUGUCAUCUGAACCACUCGUUGAAACAGCCAAGGAUCAAAACCCACAGCGACGCUUCUGCAGUUCCAGGAGGAGAAACCUUCAUCUCUUCAUCUAACGAAGGCAGUCUAAACUUUUUAACUUUUCUCCCCAGACGACCAAAAUCUUGGAAACCUGUUCCCAGCUCUGGAACAUGUGCUCAAAAAGCACGUUACAUAAAACCACUUUAACGAAAUGAGUGCAAAUGUCACAGAGUGUUAUUUUUAUUGCAGAUUUAGUCACUGACGACUUCCUUAGCAGAGCAUCCACCGCUGCCUGUCACAGCAAGACCAAAUACAUUCUGUCCUUAACCUUCAAGGCAAACUGAGCCGUCUGCGGUUUAUUUAUUCAUUUCAAGGCUGUUUUUCUUUAGCUUAUAUGUGAAAAGUUUAUUUGCAUAUGUAACAGCUCUUGUUUGUCUUGGGUUGGAAGCAGAGACGGUAAGACGUUCUGAGAAUUUGGUCGUUAUAAGUGCAGCUGGGCCUUGAGCUGAUGUGGCUGCAAACAAAGUAAGGAGACAAAUAAACGAGCUGGACACUCUGUUCCAAUGACAAAUGAUCGGCUGGGAGGCUGAGAUACUAACCAUGCAUUUGAGUGUCACAGAGGAGCCGUCUACCAGCCGGAGAGCGACGGAGUCUGCUGCUCUGAUUGACCUGGCCUCAACAGCUAAGCU